GGAUCAUUGCUGGAACGCGCCCCAGGCGCACCCAGAAACCCUUUGUGAACUUAUACCUUACUGUUGCCUCGGCGCUAGCUGGUCCUCCGGGGCCCCUCCUUCUGGAGGAGCAGGCACGCCGGCGGCCAACCUAACUCUUGUUUUUACACUGAAACUCUGAGUACAAAACAUAAAUGAAUCAAAACUUUCAACAACGGAUCUCUUGGUUCUGGCAUCGAUGAAGAACGCAGCGAAAUGCGAUAAGUAAUGUGAAUUGCAGAAUUCAGUGAAUCAUCGAAUCUUUGAACGCACAUUGCGCCCUCUGGUAUUCCGGAGGGCAUGCCUGUUCGAGCGUCAUUUCAACCCUCAAGCCUGGCUUGGUGAUGGGGCACUGCCUGUAAAAGGGCAGGCCCUGAAAUUCAGUGGCGAGCUCGCCAGGACCCCGAGCGCAGUAGUUAAACCCUCGCUUUGGAAGGCCCUGGCGGUGCCCUGCCGUUAAACCCCCAACUUUGAAAAUGGACCUCGGAUCAGGUAGGAAUA
rnacentral:misc_RNA from 1 species